UGAGUGCUGAGGAGUGGGUGCUGGGUGGCUUCCCUGGGCAAGCUGGUUGCUGAGCUGCACAGGCCCUUGCAUUUUCUGGGCUGUUCCCGUGUUUCAUUCCUCCCCUUCCCGGACAGUAUUUGAACAAGACGUAUUUUACUAAAGGCUUCGUGGAUUGCAGGGUCCCACGACAUCACCCCUCGAUGCAGUCGAUGGUUUGUUCCAGAUUCAGGCUUGUUUCUGGGAAGAAACGCUGACAGAAAUUCAGAAGAACGGGAGCUGCAUUCCUUUAGGACAUGAAUACAUGAAAUGCUCGUUUUGGGAACUUCUAGAAGAAUGAGCUGGAACCCACUUUCCGAGUCCUGCUGGAACCAGAGACCGAGAUAUUGCCCAGGUGUCUGAAUGACUGCACUGGGGUACCUAACUUCUUUUCUGAUAGACUAUAUUCCCGUAAGUAUUGCAGUCAGCGUACCUUUGGACUUUAUCCAAAGGUGUGUGUAUCUUUCAGUCUGUUCACUUAAUUUUCUUUCAGUACUUUAAUGUUGAGGGAUUCAUAAUUGGAUUGAUUUUCACUAAAUGAUAUGAGCUGCAGUUCCAACCAUGACAGAAAGCAUGGGCUUCCUGUGUUAGGUACUCAAGAGCAAGGCAGAUAUCCUGGGCACUUGAGCUGAGAAUGUCACUCUUUUUGCCAGCCCUCUUCCCUACCCUUGGAGACAAGAGUCUCCUUUUGGUCACACAGAAAUGCAGGUGAAGUCAGCAGAGAAAGGUCCCUUCUCUUCCCUUCCCUUUGUCUCUCAAACUCCCUGUCGCUACCUUCUGCCUGUCCCUUUCUCUGACUCAAUCCCCCAGGUCCCCUGCUCCAAUCCAGCCACGAUCAGGGUGUCCUCCAGCUGCUGGCCUCUACCCUGUCCAUCCCUCAGUGAGGAAACUGCAGUAGGAUUAUGUAGUUCACAGGUCUGAUCCAGAAAUCUCUGCUCCUCAGAGCCCUCCUACACGUGGUGCUAUCUGUGGAGACCUGGCAUCCUGGGUUAGGGUCUGACUCCAUUGUGGCCUCUUCACUCCUCUCCCACAGUCACUGCUGGUCCCUCAUCCUUCCCCAUCAUUAGAACUCCGUCAUUUCCCAGGGACAGAUACCUGUCUAUCUGACCCCAAGGCACCAAGGAGUCAGUGAAUAUUUCUAAAAUAAAUGAGCAUAAGCACCCCAUCAGUCUAGAUAUAGGAAGGUCCCAUCACCCCAGAAAACUCCCUCGGGCUCCCCUGCACAAAAGGUGAUCUUCUAUCCUCUAUUUCUGCCAGUUUGUUACCUGUGUGUACAGGAACCCCACUGUGUGCACUCGAUGGGGAUUGAGAGUAGAUGGGUCUAGAAGCAGACGCCGACACAGAAAACGAUGAAAGGUGGGUUAGGGGACAGUAGGAAGGACAAAGUGGAGGGGACAGGAUGGGCAGGGAAAGCAUUCAGGCAGAUCUGACACCUUCUUAAAAUGUAUAUACAAACACAACACCAUAGUCUGUCACCGUGCACAGUCCUCUUCAAAUUUCAAAAGAGUUGUCCUAUAAGGCAAAGAGAUUUUGGGUAUUUCCCUCUGAUCUUAUGUCUUCCUACAUGCAUUCUGUCUUCUGUAGUUUAUCUGUGGCUGUGACCUCAGAUGAACACUUUAGUGUGUGGCUGCAUCUGUGAGAUUAUAUGUAAUGGAAAAUGAUUGUCUUCAGAUCUGGAUCUCUGAAUGUACACAGGCUCAUAAUUAUCUUUUCUUUCUUUGCCUGGAAGGGCCCGAAUUUUAACAGAAAAACAAGGGACCUUACCUUACUGUUUAAAACCGUGAUUCCCAAUCCCUGGGCUGAGUUGUUAACAGUCUUAGUUUAAUGAACUUCGGUGACCAUCUUUUUUGGAGGACCUUUGUGUGGAGAUAUCUCAAUUGAAACUGUGAGAAGGGUGAGUGCACACUUCCCAGAGAUUUUGCAGAUGCUUUAUGUAUAUAAUGUCUUCUUUUUAAAAUGUUCUUAGAAACAAAUAUUACCCCUGUUUUCGCAGAAAACACAGCUGAGACUCUGUGUAGGUCCCACUGAGAACUGGUACUAGGGCUGAGACAGCAGGAACACAGGCAAAGCCUCAGGAUAUUGUGAGAGAAGUCUGAGGAGAUGCAAAGCUGUAGUCAGGGUGAUGACAGGGGUCCAGCGGGGGCAGCUUCUGGCCAACCCUGAAUUGUAGGUUGACCCACUAAGUGGGCCUGAGUCUGACUCAGGCUGAAGGCCAAUGCAGGCACUCAGCUGAUCUAGAUCCUGUCUCCACUUCUAGUCUCACUGAGGGAUAUGAACUUGGGCAUACAGCAUUUUCAUAACACCAAGUUAAAUUCCCCAUAUCUCCAGGGCUUUUUUUCCCCCACAAAUACCCAGAACCUUCAGGAAAAUCCAGGGAGACAAUCUUUUUAGAUGAUUACCUGCAUGCACUUUGGCAACACACUGACAUUUUGGAGAUGAACACUGCAUUGUGCACUGAGAGCGACCCCACAUAGCAGCUCUGUGUGGACCUCACACUCCCUGCUCAGGCUGUGGCCAGGAAUGACCUCCAACUGCAUCUCACUAACCCCAACACCUUCCCCUCUGCACCUCCUCAAACUCUGCUUACUGUGCUCAACUUCCCUUCUAUUCCUGUAUGAUUCAAGGUUCCCCCAUUUUUGCACUGGAUCCUUCACCGGUGUUUCCAUUAUGGUGAUCACAAGGUCUGCGUCAUUUAAUGCAUGUCCCUCUUUCACACAGGACACCUGAUGCUCUAAAAGUUAGGGGUGCGCCUCAUUCUUUACAGAACCCAAAAUAUUGUGUCUCCAAAAUAUGCACCAGUGCUGCUGAUACGUCUGCUUUUGUGUAAAAAAUCCUUUCAUUUGACAAGAGAAAUGUAUAGCUCACCGUAUUACAGGGAAAUGACACUGCCCAUUGUAUGCAUGUCCUGAGAAACUUGAGAUAUGCUACAGUGUCCUCAGGCAGUUGGUAGUUGCAUUGCCGAGACUCACAGCCAUCUCUACAUCAUUCCCACAAAGUCAAUCGUGAAGAAGAUGAAUAUACUUUACCAGCCUCUCAUCCGGUUCAGGUCAUCUUAACAAAUAGAGGAGGUGGAGGAGCUGGUGGUGGAGGGGGACGUGGCCUAUAGCCCAUGACUGGUGGUGAAGGGUGGUCCAUGGGGAACAGCCUGCAAGGCGAUCCUGGGAAAGGACCAGGCCCUCUUGAAUACAUAAUAGCCUGCGGGAGAGAAAUGAAAGGUAUGUUCAUAGGACAGAACAGAGCACCAACACCAGCAAAAAAGCAGAAGCCCAAAGCAGCAGUGCUCAUAUCCUACUAGCUUCCCCACCACCAGGUUCCAAGAGGGCAGCAUCAGCGCCAAAAUCUCUACCCAGACUUUGGGUUCCACUUACAGCUUUGGGGUGGGAAGAGGAUGUGAUUGGGGUAAACUAGUGUCUCCACGUGUCUGGAAACGUUGAAACAGCAAGGGCUCUUUUCAUACAAGAUUUAUAGACUGAAUACCAAACUAGCAAAGUAGCAUAUUCCAGAUAGGAAGGCAUCUCUGUCCAGGAUCACCCUCCACCCUUCAUCCCCCUCCACCACAGAGGCUGCUUAUGUGUAUGUGAAGAACUACAGAAUAAGAAGGAAUGACAAUGCCAGUGUCCACACAUGGAAUCAUAGCCCUCGUGGCUCAAAGCUCUGCCUCUAAGCCCCUGCCUGUGCCCAAACUACUGUCCUGACCAUGGGGUCUCCUCUCUGGAAGUGCUGUCCAUGGGCACAGAGACACAUGGGGAGAUGGGGAUCCUGAAGGCCUGUAGAGGACCUGGGAAAGCAUGCUCUUAGAGAAACAGGUAACCUAUACAUGUUAGUUGGGUUCAUCUAAUUUCUUUUAAUUCAGAGGUACUUCUCAGCUUAAGUACAGUACAUUUUGCAGGGUAAUUGUGUCCUCUGGAAAAAUGAGGUGAAAUUCUAAAAGACAAAAUUAACACAAAUGCACUUUGAUGUCUGGUGUAAGUUUCCAUGUUUUAGUGAUACCUGUGACACAGGACACGAGAUAACGUGCUCAUGUGAACACAAGUGAAGGACACUGUGGGGACUUGCCACAUGGGUAAUUUUGGAUUUUUUCUCUUCACAACUUAAGUUCCAGUACACGUUUUCUAUGACAAAUAUGCCACCUCUUAUAGUUCAGAGUAUUUAUACCCAGGGCACACCUGAAGGGAUUCUGGACAGCAUGUUUACCAAAAUGCUAAUGGGUAUGAGAUUUACUUUGUCUAAGACCAUUCUAAAUGACACAUACAAAAAUAUAAGUUGGAGUGAAGGCAGUUCGCAUUUUCAGAUUGUAAGGAUACCCACAGAUUUUCCUGACCACGUUAAAACCCUCGAUAGAAGGAAACAGGAGAGGAAGAAACAGCAAGAGCAAUGGUUCCACAUUGAGGAGAUCCACAGAGAAUGAGCCAAAGUAGGAGACUUCCAAGUGGAGGGUGGUGUCAUCCUCCUUGAUUUAUUCCAGGAACACACUGGAAAAGCCCUAUGGUCCCCACCCUUAGACACGCUUCGCUGCUCAACUUACCACAAACAGAUGCCAGCUGGGAAGCCCGUAGACUCGGCGGUAAAGGUUUUGCAUUUGGGAAAAAAACAAAAACAGCAGGCAUACCAUACGACACACAAACCAGAGACAAUGGCAGGAGAGUGUCUUGUACAGAAAGAUGUGGAUGUCCGUAAAGACAGAACUGAAAAUGGCCACAGCAUUUACCUUGUGUUUCUCGGCAGUUUUGGCAGAGCCAGUGUUGAUGUCACUCUUGGGUGUGACACCUGCUCCUGGACCUGCAAAAAGCCCAAGAAUGGAUGGAGGUUUAUUCUGACUUGAGUAGACUGGAGACCAAAAACAAAACAAAAAACCCUCCCCUCAUACUUCCGACAACUUAAAGUCUUUGUCCCAGUGAGAUCCCAAAUUACAUGCACAGGGUGACCCACAUGCCUCCAGUGAUCCCCAAGAAGAACUUGAAGAACCAUCCCUUAUAACUCGAUGAAGACUCCUAAAAGCCCUGAUUCAGAUGUAUUCAUCACUCAGCAAACAACUACGGAUGGCUGGGGGCACAACUAGAUGGACAUACAUUACGUUGUGCCUCAUGCCUCACAGAUCCCAGCACGUGGACUGUGUACAGGGCAUUUCUGCUGAAGCGCUAUGUCUGAUUUGCUGCAUACGGCCCCAUUCCUUCUCCACAAGAGACGCCUGUACCCACCCAUGAUGGGGGAAAUGACAAAGAUGAGAUCCUGAGAAACUUGAGGAAUGUGGUAAUGGCAGCAGACGUUCCCCUUGCAUCACAAUGGUCUGUGGUACCUCCUCUGCACCUUGGCCCAAGACCUAACAGCAACAAAAAUAAGGUGAGUGUGUUUUACAAGUCAACUCCUAGUGCUCAGAUUAUCUUACCAAGUGUUGCAGGUGGAGGGGUUCCGGGUGGCCUCAGGGCCACUAAGGUUCAGGAGGUGGACGUGCCUAAUAGUCCAUGGGGGCAGGGCGUCUCCAGGGUAGGGCAUACAGAAUCGUCCAGUUAACGGAGGAGGUCCCCAGGAUCCAGACUGCCCUGCAGAACAGAAAUGACAGCUACAUCCAUAUGCCAGACAAGAGAACCAAUACCAAAAGCAGCUGUAACCCAGAGAAGAAUGUGUCAGCACCUGCCACCUUCUCUGCCACCAGGAUCCAAGAGUGUAGCAUCAGUACCUGAAAACUCUGUCCCUGCCACUGGAUGCCACCACACAUCACUGCCCAUGUCUGCAGAAGUAAACUGGCAAGGGUCCUGUCCUAGAGGAUUAACAGAAGUAAUUACAGAUUAAUGAAGUAGCAUUCUCCCGACAUGCAGCCAUCGAUGUCCAGGUUCACCCUGCAUCCCUCCUCUACGGCGACUCCAGAUGCUCUGCUUUGGGUAUAUUAAGAACACAAAAAAAAUGAGUGGGAAUAAACGGCUCAUAUUCUGCUCAUGGAAUCACAGCCACUCCUGGCAAAAGGUUCUGCAGCCGGACCCUCGCUGUGCCUUCUCUGCUCCUCUCCCUGAGAAAGGAGUCUUCCCUCUUGAAGUGUUGUCAAAGGCUCAGAGACCUCUGGGCAGUGGAGGAUGCCUGGAAUCUUGCAGGGGAAGGAGAGUCUUCUGUGAAGAACGAGUUACUUGUGGUGAAUGUCUACAAAGCUCAGAUGUGUUCAUCUUAAUUCAUAGGGAAUUCUGACUUUAAGCAUACGACAGGACACAGAGUCAUUAUGUACAAUGGAAAAAAAGAGGGAGAAAUUCACAUAACAGAUUUCAUGCAAGUGUUCUGGUAUAAAACUCCUGGUAUGUGUCAUGAGACUGUAUCAGCUCUAACAGUGACGGGACAAAACCAGAAACUGCUCAUAGAAACACAAUUGAAGGACACAGUGUUCAAACUAUUUUUACCUAAGGUAUAGCUGGAGGAUUCCAGACAAGUCAUUUACCAACAAAGAUGGAAAGGUGAUGAGUGAUGACAUUGGCUUUCUCUAUGACCGCUCUAAAUGGCACAGGGCACAAAAUAUAAAGUUGGAGUCACGAUGUCGUUUCUAACAGGUUCAUCUCCUAGCCAGAAUCAAGAAAGGAAGACACAGCAGCCACACUGUUCCCACAGAGGUGAGGUCUGGAAGGCGUCACCCAGGCCAGGAGACCUUUGUUUGGAGUGUGGAGUCAUCCUCCUCCUCAUUAUUUCCUGAAACUCAAGGAAAAACAUUAAGAGACGUGUGGAGCAAGAAAUUGCUGUGGCUGAGGUCAAAGAAGUUGUUGCCUGUUUUCUCCUCUACAGUUUUGAUGGUUUCCUGUCUCACAUUUAGGUUUCCAUCCUGUCAAUGCUGAUCUUUUUGGUCCAAGAAGCACAGACCAGACCCAGAACAGGAUGUGGACAGCUGUGGCCACAACUACUUCAGGCUGGUGGAGAAACCUGCCCUGUGGUCCUCAGUCUUCAGGAAGAACUGAAGUUCUUCUGAAGUUCCCAUCAAGAACCCCAUGAAAAAGCUGUUGUUUAACCACAGUGUGAAUGAACUCAAUACGAAGGAAGAAUCUACCGAUGUCCCAUAUUACUCACAUUUGGGUUUGAGUAACUGGGAAACAAGACCAUGAGUAGACAGACAAAACAGCUUCUGUACCUUCAUGUCCUGGUUGUAUCAGGCGGCACAGGGGCACCAGGGAGGAGAUGGGGUGGGAAUGCAGUGGGGUGGUAAUUGGAUUGGAGGUGGUGUUUCAGUAAGGGUGAGAUUGGGGAGGGGGUGUGUCAGGAGAAGAAGGAGGUGAGGGACAGUACCAAGAUUAGAUCAAGUACUAGAGUAGAGGGAGGGGGGGUUCAGACAGGUUAGUUGGUCAGCAGGUCAAUAAAUCACUAGGUGAGCAGGACACAAGUAGCAGCUGGAGCAGAGGAGGAUCCAUCUAUGUUCAAGCUUUCAACUCUCUGAGCAUUGCUUUAACAGCCUGUAACCUUUAUUCAUUCAUUCAUUCUCUCUCUCUCUCUCUCUCUCUCUCUCUCUCUCUCUCUCUCUCUCGACCAAUCAGCUCCCUUCACCCCUGGUAGAUCAACACAGACACCCAGCGUGACUUUAUUUUUUAAAAAGCCACUUCUCACCUACCACAUCACCACAUGCCAUCCCAACAACUGCUGCUCUCUGGAACACUGGCAGACCUUCUGGUUUCUGGUCCCUCCCAACCCAGGUCCCUUUCCCCUCUUCUCGGAGCUCUCUCCUUCCUUUCAGAACUCCAAUGAAAUACAUAAGCAGAAUGAGAGUUUUCAACCCUCUCUAAAUAACUCAAAGAAGACAUAACAUCCAUAAGAUAUAGAUCUUGCUAGUAACCAUCUGAAAUCCCACGGCGAUAUCCAUAUAUGUGUUCACAUCUACAUAUAACACUGUGGAGGACACAUUAACUUCAGGCACAUAGGAUACAGAUACAAAAACUCAUACUACUUAUCUUGGCCAUACGUGAAAUUUCAAUAUAUUCCAGAGGAAUGAAACACACAGAGCAUCUUUUGGUAAUAUAAUGUGCUAGAAAUCGCUGCUAAAAAGCUAACUAGAAAUUCCCAUAUGUUUAGUAAUUGAGAAGUCCCUCUAUAAAUAUGAAUAAAGAAAUCCCAAAGAAAAAGAGCUAUAUUUGACUGAAUGAGCAUGAUAAAAUUAUAAUCAAAUAUGUCUCCAGACCUGGAAUAUCCUGAAAUAUUGGUGUGAGAAGGCUGUCUGGUCCCCAAAUCAUCUCUAAUUGGCCUAGACCUUUUAAUAUCUCAAAUAGUGGUCGAUCUCUCACUUGUCUAUGUGACGCUCCUACCCAUUAGGUUGGACUUUACAUUAUGAACCCCACAGGGGGAAUAAUCCAAGCUGACUCUCAUGGCAUCUCCUGGGAUCUGCAGGAAUGAGAGCAUUUUAAGAUAAAUAGUUCAUCAGCUUAUCUCUUGGAGGCCCUGGGACAACACCCAUAUUGUUAGCAGCACCAGGUGUGCUGGGCAGGGAGGGCCUAGCAGGUGGCCAGGGUCACCCCAAUUAUAACUGGAGCAGGGAUCAGGGAAAGAAGCAGCAGUGAACAGAGAUUGGGGGCCUUGAACAGGUGAGAUCAUUCAUGGAGGUAAGGUAGUGUCCCCAAAGCCAGUAUCAGCUUCCCAUCUGGAGAGCCCUUUGUGGACCCUGGGGGCAGGGCCAGGAGCUUAGAGUUUGAGAUCCAGUGUGCUGCUUACCAGCUGUGUGACCCUGGGCUGUGUUCUUUCAGUAAAAUGGUGUCCUUCCGUGUCCAUGCCUGUGUCCAUAACUGUGCUAUGGACAGGAGGAAGCCACGUCCUAAGCACCUUUGCACAUUAGUGUCACCAUCUCUAUGUGAUGCAGGGUCAUCGAGCCCAAUGGUCAUGAAUGAAUUCUUGAGACAUUUUAUGGUGCAAAAAGGUGUUUUAAUUAUACCACAGGGACAGGACCCAUUGGCAGAAAGAGUUGUACUUGGAAGGUAAGGAAUGACUGAUUGUAUACUUUUAAGUUUGGGGGAUGGGGAAGGUAGAGAUAACCUAAGUCUCUAAAGGGAUUUGUGCAUGUUAGAGAAGAGUCACGGGAUCCUGGAGUUCAGGCUGUUGUGAAGCCAGUUGCUUUCAGUCUCUAGAAAAACAUCAACAUUAAGGCAGCCAUGAGCACUUUGUGCAGGGUCACGCUCUGCAUGUCUCAGGGAUUUAUCAGUGAGCUGCAAGUUGUGAGAAAAUAUAAUUUCGAUUAUGGUU